GUGGGUCACGCCUGUAAUCCCAGUACUUUGGGAGGCCGAGGUGGGCGGAUCACGAGGUCAAGAGAUGGAGACCAUCCUGGCUAACACGGUGAAACCCUGUCUCUACUAAAAAAUACAAAAAUUAGCCGGGCGUGGUGGUGGGCACCUGUAGUCCCACCUACUCGGGAGGCCGAAGCAAGACAAUGGCUUGAACCCGGGAGGCGGAGCUUGC
rnacentral:lncRNA from 10 species